rnacentral:rRNA from 1 species
UACGUAGGUGGCAAGCGUUGUCCGGAUUUACUGGGCGUAAAGAGCGCGCAGGCGGUCGUUCAAGUCGCGUGUGAAAGCCCCCGGCUCAACUGGGGAGGGUCACGCGAUACUGAUCGACUCGAAGGCAGGAGAGGGUAGUGGAAUUCCCGGUGUAGUGGUGAAAUGCGUAGAUAUCGGGAGGAACACCAGUGGCGAAGGCGGCUCACUGGCCCGGUACUGACGCUGAGGUGCGAAAGCGUGGGAGCAAACAGG